rnacentral:lncRNA from 1 species
GUGUGUGGAGUCUGGUCGUGACGAGCUUCAAAUUAGCUGGCAGAGAGCAAGGGUCAUGUUGAUAUCUGCUGCUGUAAAGUGGUUUUACCUGAAGCCUGAGGUUAACUACAGAUUAACAACUCUCUUUGACUUCAUAGAAAGUUCAUAGAACUCAAGUUUUUGAAAGUUGCUUAGGGCUCUGUUUUCACUGCUGAGGACCUUGGUGUGACCCCUGAUAGGGGAACCAAGACUCCCCAAGCUGCAUGGCCACACCAUAAACAACCCCCCUGCCCCCCUCCCCCGAAAAGCGUGUAUUAGAAAGAUCCCGACAUGAACUGCAAAGAUACUGACAUGGUUAAUGCUGACCAGCAUGUUAUUUGAAAGUUUCUCCUCUUCUUGCAAGCCUCAGCUGUGUCUCUGUAUGCAUUUCAAUGGGAUUUCUUAAGAUCCAAAGUUUGUGUUUUCAAAACACGGUUUUGGUUUUGCAAAAUAAAACUGCUCUGUGGGUGAAGUAGGGAUCGCCUUCCGGUCUCAGGGCUCUGACUGGAGACCCAGGUGUUUAGUGGUCCCAUGUCUUUCAAACCUGUUAGCAUGUGACUCUAGAAAUCAAAGCAGAGGAGGCAUCACUCAGAUGCUUCUUUCGGUUUGACCAGAGCCCUGAUGCGAUCUGGGGAAGUGUGCUUCUAACCCACACAGAAGCUUGCACAGCUCCUCUGCACCUGGCCCCAGAGGGGUGAAGCUUGCCUCUCUAUGCAGUAACCCUUCUCAGAUUUCAGCCAUAAUGAAUAAAGAUGUUUUGCAAACAUGC